rnacentral:lncRNA from 1 species
GGUGCUUCCCCAGAGACCUGAAGAGACAGGCGAAGGAGAAGGGAUAGGGGUGUGAAGUUUGCCUGACAUUCUGGAGCACACAUUUACCCAGGACCCCAAGUUCCUUCUAGGUGCUAAAUGCUCCAUUCGUCCUGAAAUGCAAAUGAUCUCAGCUCCAAAAGAAGUGGAGAGAAGGCCUGGACUGUCCUGAGGUAUUUGCUUCACGUCUCUGCUUUGAGACAGGAUCCUGCGCCCAAAGUGACAGGAGGGGUACCUCUGGGCCACAUCGUGGUCUCCGGCAGUGAAUCUCAGCCUUGGUGCGUAGGUCUCGGGCCCCCGUGGUCCACGGGUCACCAAGCUCCAUUGCCCUAGUCCAGGCCCCCGUCCACCGUUCUUGGUCCCCCUUCCCUCCUCCCUGGGGGCAGAGGCUACAGUCCUUCUCCCC